rnacentral:rRNA from 1 species
GCUGAACUUAAGCAUAUCAAUAAGCGGAGGAAAAGAAACUAACAAGGAUUCCCCUAGUAACGGCGAGUGAAGCGGGAACAGCUCAAAUUUGAAACCUGGCGGCCUUCGGUCGUCCGGAUUGUAUUCUAGAGAAGCGUUUUCCACGCUGGUCCACGUAUAAGUGCCCUGGAACGGGCUGUCAUAGGGGGUGAGAAUCCCGUCCUUGAUGUGGGCUACCAGUGUUUUGUGAUGCGCUUUCGAAGAGUCGAGUUGUUUGGGAAUGCAGCUCAAAGUGGGUGGUAAAUUCCAUCUAAAGCUAAAUAUUGGCGAGAGACCGAUAGCGAACAAGUACCGUGAGGGAAAGAUGAAAAGCACUUUGGAAAGAGAGUUAAACAGUACGUGAAAUUGUUAAAAGGGAAGCGAUUGAAGUCAGUCGCGUUUAUUUGGACUCAGCCUUACUUCGGUUUGGUGCAUUUCCUUAUAAACGGGCCAAGUCAAUGUGUCGCGUGAAAAAGGUAUAGAGGAGUGUGCUCUUUCGGGAGUUUUGAGCCGUUUACUAUGACGUAUAUGUACUGAUUUGUUCACCAGCAUKUUGCGGUUCGGU